ensembl:lncRNA
AGAAAGCAGAUCAAACUGAGAUUAAAGGAAGGACUUGGGCACGUGCUCAGGCCCACCUCAGUCAAAAAAAAGCAUGAGGACAAGGAGGAAGUCAGGUGUCAGGGGUCAUAAAGCCUCAAGAGCCACCAAAGAAUCAUGAAAACAAGAGCAGCAAACACAAAGGGACAUCGUGGAAAAACCCAGCCAGCUGCUUCAUGUCACAGAGAAGCCUUCACAGUCUGUUACCAGUCGAAUGGCAUGUUUCAAAUUUGACCAGCUUCAUUCUCAAGUGUUGGAAGGCCACAGGUGGCUACGGCCUUGGACAGCACAGGCAUAGAGGCAUCUUGUUGAUACUCCAGAGACUUCAAAUUGUUCGAAGAGAGAAUGCUUUUCAUGCAGACGCCCACUGCCAACUAAACAAACAAAGAAAGGGCUUCCCUGGUGGCUCAGUGAUAAAGAAUCCACCUGCCAAUGCAGGAGACACAGGUUCAACCCCUGGUCUGGGAAGAUCCCACUUACUGCGGAGCAACUAAGCCCUUUGCCACAACUUCUGAGCCUGUGCUCUGGAGCCCGGGAGCCGCGACUCCUGGGCCCAUGAGCCCCAGCUAAUGGAGCCUGCAUGCCGUAGGCCUGUGCUCCUCAAUGAGAGGCCCCACCGCAGUGAGAAGCCUAUACAAUGCAACUCAAGAGGAGCCCCUGCUCGCCACAAAUAGAGAAGACCCCGAGCAGCAAGGAAGACCC